CGAAGGGCGAUUGUACAAGUACAGUACUUAAACGUUUACUACAGUACUUUCUGAAAAAUUUUUUUCCGAGAUUCCGAAAAGCGAAAACUCUACGACAUGGAACCUAAUCAAAGAGCUAGCUAAUGUUGAAAAAAAUCAUUACGUACUCACCAGGGGUUUUUGUAGUGCUGUCAUGCGAACGAAGAGAGAUUGUACCAGCUCCUUUGGCUGGCGAUAUAAAUAACCUCCGACUUGUGAGUAGUGUCGUUGUUGUUAAUGAUUUUAGUAUAUUAAUUUUAGUAAUUUUAUUGCAAGGAUUAUUACAUAAGGAUUAUUACAUAAGGAUUGUAUCCGUACAUAAUUGUACUGUAUUUUAUAUUGACUUUAUUCACAGAUCUGGUUACAGUUCUGGUUCAUACAUACUGUCAUAAAAUUAAUUUUAUUUCUGUACACGCUAAAACUGACGGUUGAACAGUGCAUCAGAUGGAAGGAAAUUACGGAUACAAAUUACAAUUCAAUAAAAUCAAUCAUCAAACAAUGCUUAUCGUAUUAUUUUUGCGUGCAGCUCAUGAGAGCAAAGCAUCGAUGGAAAAUCCGCAUUUCUUGGCGAUUUUAUCGCCUGCAUUAACCGCCUCUCCUGUCAGUUUCGCGGAGCCCACCGGUGAAAAUGCAGAUUUGCCGAUUGUUUUGUAAUUAGUGCCGUCAGUACGUGUUAGCUCGUCCACGCGUAAUUGUUGAUGAAACUUUAUUUCCAUUUCCAUUUGUGAAACAUAAUUAACGUGGGGAGAAAUGCCGUUAUGGAUGCCGACGGGCAAUUCGGAGAAAUAUUUCGUUUUCGGGACAUUAUUUCCGUUGAACACCGUAUGUUUUUCAAUAGGGUCUUCCAAUUUUUCUGGAUCUGGAUCAGGAAAUUUCGGUGAAGUUCCAACAUGGUAUGUUGGGAUUUGGAUUGGUGGACGAAAAAUCAAAGGAGAAGAAAAUCCGAAGAAACUACAAUAUUGUCCAUUAAUAAUAGCGCUAGCUGAAGGAGAUGCCGCUUGUGCCUGUAGCAACAGGUUUUCGGUUGAAGGGUUUCCGCCAUCCACUCCCUUGUCGAUGGAACAGCGACGCUUACGCAGUCGCUCGCUAAGAUAUUGGUUGAUGCUGAAAUAGUAUGGCGGAGGCAAGGAUUGUAUCCUGUUUCGAAAGCGAAAGUCUGGAAAAACAAGAAGUUAUAAUACAGAAAAUACAGA